AUUAGGGAUUUAAAGGUAGAUGCUUAAACUAAAAACGACAUGGCCUAUUUAUGAGCAGAAAAUUUUUGGUCUUUUUGAUUUGUUCUAUUUUCUACUGAACCAGCCAAAUUGAAAUGAUGAGACUAAAACUGGACCAAAAAAUCUAAUUAGAUGGGUUUGGUUUAGUUUUUUUUGUUAUAAUCUAUUUUUACUCAUCCUUAGUCCAAUAAAGAGAACUUUUAGAUCCGCAUUGUUAUGAUCAACUGUACAAUUUCUCAACUUGUAGCUCUUGUUUCUUCUUACUUGAGCAUAUAUAAUAUUCCUGGUUUGGUCAAACACCCAAAACUCUAAGCCCUAAGUUGAUCUAUUCCCUUUGUUGUAAAUAAGAACUCUUCAAUAGUUUCAGAUGGAUUUUGGAAUUGAAUGAUUAUAGUUUUCAUUUUUGAGUUUUUAACUAAUUGAAGUUAUACUAACUUGAAUUGAACGGUGGAGGUGA
rnacentral:misc_RNA from 1 species